rnacentral:lncRNA from 1 species
GAUGUAUUUUCAUUCAUGAUGUAGGAGGGACCAGUCUAUCGUGGGUGGAGCCACUCCUGGCCUGCUGAGCCAGUAACAGGGAACAAGCUAGUAAGCAGCACUCCUCCAUAGGCUCCUCAGCUCCUGACUCCAGCUUCCUCCCUGCUUGAUUUUCUGCUCUGAUUUCCUUUGAUAAUGAACUGUGAUGGGGAAGUAUAAGCUGAAAUAAAUCCUUUCCUCCCAAAGUUGUUUUUAGUGAUAAUGUUUUAUCACAGAAAUAGAAACUGUAGAUGAGACAGCUAACUAUACUUCACAGAUUCUACAAGGACUCCUUUUCACUUGAAGAUACUUAAAAUAUGUAUUUUAUAUUGUUGCUACAUCUUGGCAUUUCAUUUCCUCUGGGUUAUUCAAAAUAUGCUAUUUUAUAGUCAAUAAAAAAACAUCAGAACAUUAUUGCAACUUGAGAAAUAAUUAUGUAGCUUGUGAGGGGAAAAGUUGUUGAAAACUCAAACUGACUGGGUAGCCAUGGAAUUAUUUCCCAAAUUGCUGUGGAUAUUUGAAUAGCUUCAAAACAAAAUCAAUUCACAAUUCUCUCUGGAACUCAUACAUGCUGUAAAUUCUGUUUGUUUAAGUAAUGCUUCCAAAGUGGACCUUGCCUUUUAACCCUCAUCCUUCCUUUCCUCUUGUUGCUCCUUUAGUCUAUUCACCUAUCUCCAUGCUUUUCUUCCUUUCCCUUGCUCUUCUUUAUCAUUAACAAGUGUUUAAUGACUGCAUAUUUUAUAUAAUAUAUUAUGUAAAUAUAUAAUAUAUAAUAUUUUUAUCAGACUGAGCCCCUCUUUUCCUACAUUCCUGAGGAUUUUUAAUAUAUAGAUUUUCAGAUGUAUAUUAUAUCUCCACAUCAAUAUGUAUCAUUGCAAGCAGAUGGUAAAAAGAACCUUUCUGUAUCAUGCUAUUCUGCAAAAGUCAUGGGACAAGAAUGUUAGGAAGGGAAAUGACUAGGCUAUGCUUAAGCUACUGUCCCAAAGGCUGGGUAGAAAUAUAUAGAUGAGAAAUUAUAUGAAACCCAGAGCAUGACGAGGGAAUGGUUUGAAGGAGCAAAGAGUCUACAGAAAAUGUCAAUUGACAGAAUAGUAUCCGUACAUCUCUCAUGUCAGUAAAGGAGGCUGGAGGAGUAGGAGGGCUAGAUCGUUAAGGAAUUCACACAGCCUACUUGGAAAACAAGAUGUUUUUCUGGAGGUUAUUGUGAACUCAACUUAUGGAUUAUAAGGGGAAUAUUUACCUUAAAAAUUACUGAGCAGCAGUGUGUAAAACAUCUAGAAUAAAGGCCAAACUAAAGUCAGACACUUCAGUUUAGAAGGUUGUGCUAUAAAUUUCAGGAGAGAAAAUUAAUUUAGAAAAACAAAUGGACAGGAAUUUGGAUUCCACGUCUAAUUAAUGGUUAGCGUGGGAAAGUUUUGGCAGUCAUAACCCAUCAUGAAGUUAAGUUCACAAGAAGGAGCAAAGAUUUUUAUUUACACAUACUGCAGACAUAUUCAUGGCUCUAAAACACCCAUUAAAAUAGAGAUGGAAGAGGGGCUUGCAAAAGCAGAGAAUUAAAGGUGAAUUCAUCUGGGGACUUACAGAAUUUCAAACUUCAUCUUUAUGCACAGGGAUAUUCAGCUUCUCUACGGCCAUUUCCGUUAUCAGAUUGAGGCUAAGUCCCUAUGGUCCUACUUUCCUGAGGGUUUUUUUUUUCUUUAAAUACUCUUGAGGUUUUUUUUUUUUUUCUUUAAAUGCUCUUGAGUGUUUCAAGAAUAUAACUUUAUAUUUCUCUAGUUAUAUUUUAUUUUUAUAUUAUAUGAUAGAUUACAUUAAAUUUUAGUAUUUUGAUGAUGAUACUUAGAAUAAGACAUUCUUGGAUAUGGCAUAUGAUGCUUUUUAAUUCAAUUUUGUUGAAUUUAAUCUGGUAAUUUUUCUAGGAACUCAUUUUGUUUAGUCAUUCUAGGGAAGUUUAUAACUCAUCAAGAUACAAUUGAUAAAGAGUGUGUAUGUGUGAAAUUAAAGUAUGUCACCUGAAGCUAAGAAAUGGCCUCAUGUAUAUUAAUAAUAUUACCAUAAUAGUAAUGAUAGCUUAUGCUGUUGAGCUAUUUAUUCCAGACAAUGCUGUAAGUAGCUUGAGAAUAUUUACUCUUAAAAAGAGGCAUUGUUUAUUUUCUAGUAUCCUUAUUGUAAUUUUAUAAAUGCCAAUAGAGUGAAGUACUAACAAGUUAUAUAAUAUUCCUCAGAGUUGGAUUUCACAUCCAAACUACCUCACUCCAGAGGUCACUUUACAUCCAUCACUUCCUACAGGGGAUCAGGCUCCCCUGUAGUAAGGAGAACAACAAACUGGGCCAAGGGUGGGGAAGACCAUAGAUACAGACUUGGUAGGGAAGUUUUGUUGUUGUUGUUGUUGUUGUUGUUGUUGUUGUUGUUGUUGUUUUUAAAGAAAUAACAGCUUUUGAAAAAAGGUAAAAAAAGAAAAAAAAGGUAGAAUUAGAUUUGUAUAAUUUAUUCAUAAAGUGAGAAUACCUUAAUUAAUCUUCUAUAAUUAAGCUAUUGCAAUCUCCAUUGUACCAUCAGAGUGGCCUUCAGAUCAUGCUCUGUGAGAUUGGGGGAUUUAUUUUUCACACCUGAAUGUGUCCAUUUGUCAUAUCCUCCCCGUGAAAAGAAUGAUAGAGCUGGCUGUGACUUUCCUAUAUUGCUGCUGUUUUCUAAGAGGCCAAGUCAAUGACUGUAGGAGAAAUCAACCUGGUGAGACAGUAGCAGCAGGUGGCUAAGUCAACUUGAUCAAAAUGCAAAAGGGUGCAUUAUUGUCAUUUGGGGCGACACUCAACCAUGACUAAGCCAACUGUUCUAAUAGUUUGAGUUUGUAGGAUACUUUUCCAGUUGUGUAAAAGUGUAAGGUC